GCUGAGAUGGCCGAGUGGUUAAGGCGGCGGUUUUAAGCUUUCCAGCUUCCACACCGCUAUCGAAAGAUGCAAGGGUUCGAACCCCUUUCUCAGCA